GACGAACCGUGCGAACGUUAUUCGGAAUCACUGGGCUUAAAGCGCGUGUAGGCGGGACGGCACGUCGGUCGCUGGAAGCCCCCGGCUCAACCCCGGAACUGCAUCCGAUACUGCCGUGCUAGAGGAUUGGAGAGGUAGCUGGAAUUCUUGGUGUAGCAGUGAAAUGCGUGGAGAUCAAGAGGAACACUCGUGGCGAAAGCGAGCUACUGGACAAUUCCUGACGCUGAGGCGACGAAGGCGUGGGGAGCGAACGGG
rnacentral:rRNA from 1 species